UACGGAGGGGGCGAGCGUUAUUCGGAAUUAUUGGGCGUAAAGGGCGCGUAGGCGGCUUGACAAGUCAAAGGUGAAAUCCCUCGGCUCAACUGAGGAACUGCCUUUGAAACUGUCUGGCUUGAGGCCGGGAGGGGGUAGCGGAAUUCCCAGUGUAGCGGUGAAAUGCGUAGAUACUGGGAGGAACACCAGUGGCGAAGGCGGCUUCCUGGCCUGUUCUUGACGCUGAGGCGCGAAAGCUAGGGGAGCAAACGGG
rnacentral:rRNA from 1 species